AUUAGAAAGUACCUGAGCUACCUGUAAAUCUGUCCUGAAGUCCUGUAGCUCUGGAUUGAUAGCAGAAUCAGCAGGCAGAGGCUGAGAGGUUGAUUGUGGUUGAGGAAUGGUAUGUGUAUGUGUAGGUGAAGGUGUUGGUUCAGAUUGAGAGGGAAGAAUGGAGGCUUGUUGGUCUGGGAAGAAGUUAUAAUGUGGAGGGGAUUG
rnacentral:lncRNA from 1 species